rnacentral:rRNA from 1 species
UACGGGGGGGGCAAGCGUUGUUCGGAAUUACUGGGCGUAAAGGGCUCGUAGGCGGCCAACUAAGUCCGACGUGAAAUCCCCAGCUUAACUUGGGAACUGCGUCGGAUACUGGAUGGCUUGAAUUCGGGAGAGGGAUGCAGAAUUCCAGGUGUAGCGGUGAAAUGCGUAGAUAUCUGGAGGAAUACCGGUGGCGAAGGCGGCAUCCGUGGACCGACAUUGACGCUGAUGAGCGAAAGCUAGGGGAGCAAACGGG